rnacentral:tRNA from 1 species
GCUGGUGUAACUCAAUUGGUAGAGUAGCUCACUUGUAAUGAGCAGGUUUGGAGUUCGAGUCUCCACAUCAGCUCCA